rnacentral:rRNA from 1 species
UACGUAGGGUGCAAGCGUUAAUCGGAAUUACUGGGCGUAAAGCGUGCGCAGGCGGCUUUGCAAGACAGAUGUGAAAUCCCCGGGCUUAACCUGGGAACUGCAUUUGUGACUGCAUGGCUGGAGUGCGGCAGAGGGGGAUGGAAUUCCGCGUGUAGCAGUGAAAUGCGUAGAUAUGCGGAGGAACACCGAUGGCGAAGGCAAUCCCCGGGGCCUGCACUGACGCUCAUGCACGAAAGCGUGGGGAGCAAACAGG